rnacentral:tRNA from 2 species
GACCCUAAAAAGUCCCGCAAGCA